rnacentral:misc_RNA from 1 species
CGCACAUUGCGCCCAUUAGUAUUCUAGUGGGCAUGCCUAUUCGAGCGUCAUUUCAACCCUGAAGCCUUAGUUGCUUCGCGUUGGGAUUCUACGGGUUACAGCGUAGUUCCUGAAAAUUAGUGGCGGAGUUCUAGCACACUUUCAGCGUAGUAAUUCUCUCUCGCUUUUGUAGUGGCUAUAGCUAUAGCCGUAAAACCCCCCAUACUUCUAGUGGUUGACCUCGGAUUAGGUAGGAAUACCCGCUGAACUUAA